AAUAAACACAGUGUUGCACUGUUCAUAUCCAACGUUUGACCAUCCGUCAUAUUUGAAAAUUUUUUAUGAUUUGUAUUUUUGUUGUUAUUAGAUGAUAAAACAUGAAUAGUAUUUUACGUGUGACUAAUUUUUUUUAAUUUUUUCAUAAAUUUUUCAAAUAAGAGAGAUGAUAAAAUAUUGAACACGAAUAUCCACGACUACAUUUAUU
rfam:Oryza punctata chromosome 2, whole genome shotgun sequence.